rnacentral:siRNA from 1 species
GAUUCUUGUCUUGAUUUUGUU